GACGAACCGUGCAAACGUUGUUCGGAAUCACUGGGCUUAAAGGGUGCGUAGGCGGUCAAGCAAGUCCGGGGUGAAAUCUUUCGGCCCAACCGGAAAAGGGCCUUGGAUACUGCUUGUCUGGAGGGAGGUAGGGGCAGACGGAACUUCCGGUGGAGCGGUGAAAUGCGUUGAUAUCGGAAGGGACGCCGGUGGCGAAAGCGGUCUGCUGGACCUCUACUGACGCUGAGGCGCGAAAGCCAGGGGAGCGAACGGG
rnacentral:rRNA from 1 species